GAAACAAAUAAGUUAAAAGAAACAGAAUGAAAGCAAACGAAACAGAGAAGAACAGGGGAGAAAGAAAGGAAAGAAGAAAGAAAAGGGGAAAUAAGGUUUAUGAAGCUUGGAGUUAAUUGCCAACAAAGAACCUGAAGCAUCAGCAUCGAAAGGAAAGGAGAAAAUCAUCGAGGACUAAAACGAGAGAAUUACGGUUAGUAAAAGUCAAGUGUCCCGGUUCAGCAUCCAGAACAUUCCCGACUCCAACACAAAUUUGGUGAUGUAUAUUUUUCUUUUGGGUAAAGGUGGCAUGUACAUAGGUGUUGUAUAGUCACUUGAAUAUGCAUAUUACUUUGGGUAGUGAAGGUUGAAUUAUAAGAUUUAGAUAGUUUAAAUGAAAUGGUAAGAAAAGUAUAUGAUAUUUUGAUACAGGAACAUUAAGUUAUUAAAUGAAUGAAGUUUUUAAUCAA